rnacentral:rRNA from 1 species
GGAUGCGAUCAUACCAGCACUAAAGCACCGGAUCCCAUCAGAACUCCGAAGUUAAGCGUGCCAUCAGAACUCCGAAGUUAAGCGUGCUUGGGCGAGAGUAGUACUAGGAUGGGUGACCUCCUGGGAAGUCCUCGGGUUGCAUUCC